rnacentral:siRNA from 1 species
AGCAGAGAAGUUGUACGGCGGUUG